rnacentral:rRNA from 1 species
UGGGGAAUAUUGCACAAUGGGCGAAAGCCUGAUGCAGCAACGCCGCGUGAGUGAUGAAGGCCUUCGGGUUGUAAAGCUCUGUCUUCUGGGACGAUAAUGACGGUACCAGAGGAGGAAGCCACGGCUAACUACGUGCCAGCAGCCGCGGUAAUACGUAGGUGGCAAGCGUUGUCCGGAUUUACUGGGCGUAAAGGAUGCGUAGGCGGAUACUUAAGUCAGAUGUGAAAAUCCCGGGCUUAACUUGGGAACUGCAUUUGAAACUGGGUAUCUAGAGUGCGGGAGAGGAAAGUGGAAUUCCUAGUGUAGCGGUGAAAUGCGUAGAGAUUAGGAAGAACACCAGUGGCGAAGGCGACUUUCUGGACCGUAACUGACGCUGAGGCAUGGAAGCGUGGGGAGCAAACA